rnacentral:misc_RNA from 1 species
GUCAAUCAUUCAUCAGUUGGACAGGAGACGGAUGGGAGUUCAAGCUUGCUGACCCUGAUGAGGUAUGGCCACUUGCACACUCAACCCCAGUCCAUCACCUUGGGCUCUAAAGGUGACCCUGGGCACAAGGGAAGUCAAUCAACAGAGCUAGUGAGAACCCUCCCCUGACCACAAGUUCCCUGGCUCUGGGGAUAGGUGAACUGAAGCCACGGCCUUGUUGAUGCACGGGCCUGGUGUCCUUUGGGCAGUGCCCUCCCUUUGUGGACACUGUCUGUUGGAGGCUGGUUACCUUCAGUAAGUUCUGCAGGGAGUUCCCCUUUGUCCCAAGUUGGACAGGGCACAUAGCAGCCAGGCAGCCUUCAGGGCUGGCYCGGGGCCCUCUGCGAGAGACAGCUUUGGUAGGCAUGAUGCCAGCGAUAUAAGUAAUGUAAUCUGUCGCCCUCUCCGYGUCUAGGGAAAUAAGCAUGUCUCACKGGCCAGGAUAGGCGCAUCAGCCCCACAUAAACCAGGUGUGAUGGCUCAUGCCUGUCUGUCGUCAGAGCGUGGAAGUGGAGGCUGGAGGAUGAGUGGCCAGUCUGGGAUACGCGAGCCUCUGGCGUUUUAAAGGGGGGUGGGUGUUGGAAUAAGAGUUAUGGAGGGUGACUGACAGCACUUGUCCCUGUGUGAGGGACCCCUGGUUCCAAAUKGCUGGCCCAGGAGGCUUUGCUGAGCUGGGGCUGGGGGCAGAGACAGCGUCAUCACUGACCCCUGUCUGGURAAGCAUCUGCGCACAUUUAAAGMGACCCGGACAAGUCCCUGUGACCUAGGGUAUCUAGGGUGAGCAUCCAUGGCCAGGGUAGCCAGUCACGGCUCAAGAGUGGACCCUGAUGACACUGACCUUUCCGUCUUCCAAAGGUGGCUCGCCGGUGG